GUGCUCGCUUCAGCAGCACGUGUACUGAAACUGGAAUGACAGAAGAUUAGCAUGGCCCCUGCACAAGGCUAGCAUAUAUAUUCAUGAAGUAUUCUGUAUUUAA